UUUGUAGUGAACCUUUCUUCCCAGGUCCCAGUGUACUCCUGAAGGUUGCCCAGACACUCAGACGAUAGCUAUCCAUCUCGGAGUCGCGUCGGGAUGUGCUCUUAUUGUAUACGGCAUUUAUUAUAUCAUUACCAAGAUAAUAUCUUAGAGUUAGUGGUGUAACUAAUGGAUACAAUAAGUAAGUUGAUAAGCAACCUGUGUGGCAUGGUGAUGAAGAUCUUGGAGGGAGUGAUUCGAGCUGAGAUAGAGAUUCUGUAUAACGCGUCCAUCACUAUAUUUCUAGUUACUACAUGCUUCAUUUCGGGAUAUUUUUCUUUAAGGUUUGGUUCGUGUAGUGCAACAAAGACUUGUCCAACUAGCCGUGUCGUCGUCGCGAACAUCUUCGGCGUGGCCGCACUGCUACUGUUUGCUUACGUCAUAUAUCGCACCUUUAUUAAAAAACCUCCAGUUAAUAACAACAGAAGAAGAUAACGAAGACUAUUUCAUAUAAUCUUAUUAUGAUAAUUGUAUAUUAAGAAGGUUCUCGAUGUAUUUUAUGUUAAUUUAUUCCAUAAAGAGAUGUUGAAGUCAUAUUGUUGUAAUA